AAACAUAGCCUUUAGCACACCAAGUAUUAAAGGUAACGCCUGCCCAGUGAAAUUUCAACGGCCGCGGUAUCCUAACCGUGCAAAGGUAGCGUAAUCACUUGUCUUAUAAAUAAAGACCUGUAUGAACGGCUAAAUGAGUAUUUAACUGUCUCCUUUAACUAAUCAGUGAAACUGAUCUCUCAGUCCAAAAGCUGAAAUAAAAACAUAAGACGAGAAGACCCUGUGGAGCUUUAAACUUUUAACAAAACAUCUUUUCAAAAGACGUUUAUGCUAAAAAUUUUUAAGUUGGGGCGACUUUGGAGUAAAACAAAACCUCCAAGAAUUAGGCACUGCCUAAGCAUCAGGCCCACUAGCCAAACAAAUAAGACCCAGUAUUACUGAUUAACGAACCAAGUUACCCCAGGGAUAACAGCGCCAUCUUCUUCAAGAGUUCAUAUCGACAAGAAGGCUUACGACCUCGAUGUUGGAUCAGGACACCCCAAUGGUGUAGCCGCUAUUAAAGGUUCGUUUGUUCAACGAUUAAUAGUCCUACGUGAUCU
rnacentral:rRNA from 1 species